AGAGUUUGAUCCUGGCUCAGGACGAACGCUGGCGGCGUGCCUAAUGCAUGCAAGUCGAGCGGGCUACGAUCUUCGGAUUGUAGCUUAGCGGCGAACGGGUGAGUAACACGUAGGUAAUCUACCCUUCAGAGGAGGACAACCUCAGGAAACUGAGGCUAAACCUUCAUACGUUCACUGGUAGGGAUACUGGUGAAGAAAGAGUUACCGUUGAGGUAGCUGCUGAAGGAUGAGCCUGCGGCCCAUCAGGUAGUUGGUGAGGUAACGGCUCACCAAGCCGAAGACGGGUAACCGGUCUGAGAGGAUGUCCGGUCACACUGGGACUGAGACACGGCCCAGACUCCUACGGGAGGCAGCAGCAGGGAAUCUUGGGCAAUGGGCGAAAGCCUGACCCAGCGACGCCGCGUGGAGGAAGAAGUCCUUCGGGGCGUAAACUCCUGGACUGGGGGACGAGGAAGGACGGUACCCCAGUAGAAAGGGACGGCUAACUACGUGCCAGCAGCCGCGGUAAAACGUAGGUCCCGAGCGUUGUUCGGAUUCACUGGGUGUAAAGGGCGCGUAGGUGGUUGUCUGUGUCUCAUGUGAAAACUCAGGGCUCAACUCUGAGAUUGCGUGGGAAACUAGGCAGCUAGAGGACGGUAGAGGGGAGUGGAGUUCCCGGUGUAGCGGUAAAAUGCGUAGAUAUCGGGAGGAACACCGGUGGCGAAGGCGGCUCUCUGGGCCGAUCCUGACGCUGAGGCGCGAAAGCUAGGGGAGCGAACCGGAUUAGAUACCCGGGUAGUCCUAGC
rnacentral:rRNA from 1 species